rnacentral:rRNA from 1 species
GUAGGGUGCAAGCGUUAAUCGGAAUUACUGGGCGUAAAGCGUGCGCAGGCGGUUACGCAAGACAGAGGUGAAAUCCCCGGGCUCAACCUGGGAACUGCCUUUGUGACUGCAUGGCUAGAGUACGGUAGAGGGGGAUGGAAUUCCGCGUGUAGCAGUGAAAUGCGUAGAUAUGCGGAGGAACACCGAUGGCGAAGGCAAUCCCCUGGACCUGUACUGACGCUCAUGCACGAAAGCGUGGGGAGCAAACAGGAUUAGAUACCCUGGUAGUCCACGCCCUAAACGAUGUCAACUGGUUGUUGGGAGGGUUUCUUCUCAGUAACGUAGCUAACGCGUGAAGUUGACCGCCUGGGGAGUACGGCCGCAAGGUUG